UACGAGGGGUGCAAGCGUUAAUCGGAAUUACUGGGCGUAAAGCGUACGCAGGCGGUUGAUUAAGCGAGAUGUGAAAGCCCCGGGCUUAACCUGGGAACUGCAUUUCGAACUGGUCAACUAGAGUCUUGUAGAGGGGGGUAGAAUUUCAGGUGUAGCGGUGAAAUGCGUAGAGAUCUGAAGGAAUACCGGUGGCGAAGGCGGCCCCCUGGACAAAGACUGACGCUCAGGUA
rnacentral:rRNA from 1 species